GGUGCUGAAAGCCUGAAGAACCUACACACCGAGAUAUCGCACCGUUGAUUCAUUUUCGUCGACAACACACGCGAAACGGCACUAGAAUAAGCCCUGACCUUAACAGCUACGCCUGGGCAAGCAAGUUCAAGUAUUGUUUCUUUGGGUGCUCGUGUAAAGCAUAUAAGCACUGUUAUGGAACUGCCUACUAAAUGAGAUAAUCUGUCUCUUUGAUUCCUAAUUCCCUACUACACUGGAUCGGUGCUCUCUGAAAGGGGUGAGUAAUCCGUUUGGGUGAGUCAUCCGUAGAGUAAGCUGAUUGGUUACCGCUAGUUGGGUAAUAGCAGUAAGAUGUGUUUUUAGUGAAUUCUAUAUGUGGAUAGCUAUAUGAAUUGAAUGGAGUGCAAAUCCUCUAUAAGUAAAGUAACAAAACACUCAACUUAUGAGAAAAGAAGAAAUAUAAGUGUGCACAUAUGAGUGAAUUGAAUAAUCUUACCAUUCAGAUAUACAAUACUAUACGGAAUCAAAUCAUAUAAUUGCACAUAUUUGCUUAUCCUCCUGGAAAAAGAGACUGCUACCGAGGCUAGGGUCCUCCUUCUUGUAAAAGAGACUGCUACGAAGGUAUUCCUGUAAAAGAGACUGCUACCGAGGCUAGGGUAUUCCUGUAAAAGAGACUGCUACGAAGGUAUUCUUGUAAAAGAGACUGCUACAAAAAGGUGUAAUUGAGUUGAAUGAAGAGUUUCUUGGAUGACAUUUGCUUGCUCCUUGAAUUACACUUGCUUGCUCAUUGCUAAUCAUCUAUGUGGGAAGUGGCCUGGCCUCCUUAUUUCAUUUUUCUUAUUCAUUGGCGUGCACACACAUAUUCUAUAUUUAUGUAACUUCACUGCUUACCCUGUUUAUGAUCCUAUUUUCUUAUCUCUUAUACAUAGCAUCUCUAUCACUCUUACAGUAGACUCCUUUACUCUUACAGUAGACUCCUUUACUUUUAAGAGAACUUUGAUUUGUGUGACGAAGAGUCCAGGAAAGAGCAGCACAGCAGGCGAUGUUACUAUAAGGUGGAUAACUCUGGAACUCCUCUAACUCAGGUGCCGGUAUUGAAUAUGGGCCAGAAUACAACACUUGCUAGUGCAUUCAAGUAAGUAAUAGAGUUCUAAUAAGACAAGUCAGAAUAUAAGUUCAGUAUAAGGCCAGAAUACAACACUUGCCUUGCCAUCGGAUUAGAAUAAGACAAGAGGGUAAGUAUAAGAGCCCAUCAACUACUGUCGACUUCGGUGUUAUGAGUGAGUUUUUAAGCAUAGGUGUUAUGAGUGAGUUUUUAAGCAUAGGUCAAAGCUACCUUAUUUCUCUAAGUCUGCAAGGAGAGUUAGAGUUUGUUGAGUUAGAAUCGGGUCGGGGUGAACUCCACUAUUGCUCUGUACUCUGGACUACUCCACUGGUGAAACCGGACUACUCUACUGGUUGGGGAAAGGAAGUAGCACAUACUACUGUCUGUAACUAAGGGACCGAUCGCCCGAAAGAUUGAGUUAUGAGCAAGUCAAGCCUGUUAAUAGAUGAAUUCCUUUCUGUAAUAGGUAAAACAUCCACCCCCCCUUGCGAAGGAAGGAAAAAAAGGAUGAUUUGGAAAAUGCUUCUUAUUAGUAUUGAUAGCAAUUGAAAUAGAUAACUGAAUAGGCAGAAUUCAGAAGUUAUGAAUUAAGGAGCAGACGAGGAGGAGUCCAAGAAUGGCUGUUUGUUGUAUUGCGGACAAAGUAUGCUAUUUUCAGAGGAGAGAAGAGAAGGAGUCCAAGAGUGGCUGUUGUAUUGCGGACAAAGUAUGCUAUUUCAGAGGAUAGAAGGAGCAGCGGAAAAAAGUGCCUCAUCGCGGACGACUCACCAAAGCACUACAGGAUCUUUCAUCUGCGCAAUCCCCACUUCAGAACUUCCGCUGCUUUCGAAAAACGGAAGAAAUUCUCAAUUGGAUUAGAAGAAGAUAUUGAUUCGAAAUGAUAUUCUAAGGAAUAAGAUAUUGUUUAUUUGACUUAUAUAUUCUAUGUGGAAUCUUAUAUCUUCUAUAUUUCUUAUUUAUUGCAAACCCGACACCUCUCCUCUUUUAUCUGAGCUUGAUUCUGUUGAUUACAAAAUCCAUCCGGAAACUGUGGAGAAGGAAAACCCUAGAAAAGCGCUUUGCCCUAGACCUUGACCUCUAAUCCUAUAAAAUGAAUUGAGCUUCCUCAAUAACUAAUAUGCCUCGGAGAACAACACCAAUCCGUUGCAUUUGAAGAUGGGUCUUGUCAUCGCACGGACCAUGACAAGAGAAAGGGCUGUUGCUAGGCUAGUGGAAAAUACCUGUUCCAAUCUAGGAUCGGUUGAGACUCAACACUCGGGGAUAUAUAUAUCAAAAGAAAGAUCUCGGCAUCCUAUAGUAGAAAAAGAAAGAUCUCGGCAUCCUAUAGCCAGGAAAUCCCCAAAUCGCUAGGGCAUAUACAUCUUGAUUCUUUAUCCCCCAAGAGAAUCCGACAAUAAUUCCAUUCCAUAUCUCAAAUAUAGGCAAGAUCCAUAUUCCAUUGAAAAUCCAUUGAUAAUAGAAUGCCAUCCGUAGAAAAGCGCAAAGGAGGAUUGAUAUGGCAUGAACCGGUCUGCUCCAUCUGCUGAUCCUCUCCGGAGGCGGGCGGGCAGGUUCUUUUUGUGUGAUUGGACGGACGUACUUUUGGGUCAUUCUCUAUUGGAAAAGAUGGGUAAAAAGCCCCCUCGGUAGUAUCCAUAGGGAAUCAGGUAUAUUCGACCCUUGAUCUCUUCCUAAUAGUUAGUUAGGCGACCCUUGAUCUCUUCCUAAUAGUUAGUUAGGGUGGUAGUCAAUCACUAGCCCUUCCCAUUUCCAUAUCAUAAAUAAGUAUCAACGGACACUUUAAGGUAAGGAGAAAGAAGUGAACCCGUGGGAAGGAAAAAGGAAUAGAAUAACACAAUCGAAAAAGCAAUCAAGUAAUGCCUUCUGUUGUCGGAAUGGGAGCAGCUAUGGAAUUCGCAUCUGGCUAUACUGCUGGACUGGAAAACAUUCUUUCCCCUCGCAUAGAAUCAAAAAGGGAAACGCAAUAAGUCGUUACUAAGUAAGCACGCCCACGGGCUAGCGAAGUCACUUACCAACUUCAAUUCUCUUAUAAAAGGAAACGAUCUUUAAACAUAACCAAUAGCGUCGACUCUUUUUCUUUUGCCCAGGAGUAAGUAAUUGAUACCGAGAAGAAGCUCCUCUUUCUUUAGUUCGGGUUCCCCUGUGGAAUGUAUAAGGUGGUAUGGGCCUUAUCCUAUAUGAGAAUAAGAAUAUCAAAGGUCAAAUGCUUGCUUUAGGGGAAAGAGAAAUAAUCCUCUAAAAGCAAUGUGCCAAGUAAUCUUCUUUGGAUUUUCGACUCAUUAAUUCCUCUUCGGGAGCAGCUAUUGAUUGAAUCCGCAUCUCUUGCAGGACUAUGGCUGUCGUCAAAACCUUGACCUUCCUUCUCUAACUAAUUGAUAGAUUGUGGGCGUAAGACCCUUCUCUUUGCCGAUCUAGGUGACAUAGAGGUUUAUAGCUCGUAAAAAAACAUGGCAAAUAUCUAUAUAAAUAUAGAAAUAGGAUAGGAUAGGACUUAUGUUCGGCCCUUUACUUAUUAAGGCAGCUUUCCCCUCUCAGUUAGGAGGAAUGAACUACAUAGAGGAAAUCGCUCUGUAUGAUAGAAAGAAGUCACCAAAACCCUACUCGUUACUUGCAGAAUGGAAUUCCAUCUUUCGAGCACCUACACCUAGUCUAGAUUGAUGUAAAACACUAUACCUUUUGCCUCUGGUCGCCUUGAAUAGAGACUUAUGUCAACUCACCACCGCCUGACUUAGUAGUUAACCUCUUCCUCUCUCUACAUUUAGUAGUUAACCUCUUCUUCUCUAUACAUUGAGUGCAAAAUAGGAUAGAUGUCCAGUCCACCCCACCAAGUCAGUAAACAAAACAACCCUAAUCAACUGAAGCAAACUAGGGAAUAAAAGAACCAAACUCUGAACUAAGACUUGAGAACAACUGUCUGAAUUCUUAAAACACAUAGCAAGUAGGCAAGCAUAUACUAGAGCCAGAAAUCAGAGAAGGUAGGGUAGAAAACGACCGAGACAAGCCCUCGCCCUCCUUAAAGUAGUAGUCCAAUCGAGACCGGCACCCCUCGUAGUAGUUGUUACUUGUAUGCUUGUUCUCUAUAGCUAUAGCCUUGGUAAGGCAGAAUAGAGGAAGCGGCUUACUCACUAUUCUUAUAUCAUGAUGGGUGCAUAUAUCGAUUGGAUUCAAUUCAGAAAGACAUAUUCGAUUCCGCUGUUUCUUUACUCAACAUGAGAGUAAGCUGUUUCUUUACUCAUUUCUAUGAAAUUUGAUAAGAUUAGUAGCUUUAGAGUUACUGAGUUAGACUUUAAGCCAUUACUGAAUGAAGCUAUCGGCACUCCUAGCUCGCUAUAGGAAUUCAUAAGCAAAGCACAAACAAGGUUUAGUCAAUAAGUAAAGUACUUGAGUGGAGUGAGGUGACCCCUUGACUAUUGAGGACAGAGGCCCCGUUAGAUAAGUUAACCGUAAUAACUUCUUCUACUUCGCCUUUCCUUUCCUUUCGGCCAUCCUUUGAUACUAUCUGUAUUGAGCUUGCCUUUCCUUUCGCUUGAAUAAUAGCCUUCUUCAGCGAACCUUGAAUAAUUGGACGAGAUUCUGGUCUUCUGUAAGCGCCCCGAAAACUCACAUUCGAACUAUCUUUGGCUUCUGGAUCUGUAACUCCACGAAAGGACGGACAAGGAGUGUAAGCUGGACAUUGACGACUUGGACCACUAUCUAUGAUAUGCCACUUGAACCAAAACAGUAGGGGGCGGCUUCUUUUGAGUGGUUUUCACCUAUAUUAACCAGAGCUCAUAGCAAAUCUACUUAUUUAAACAAUGUUUCUGUUCCUUGAAAUGCUUUUUGCCUAGAAAGAGAGUAGCUCGGCUCUUCACUGUACCGAACCUGUACCGUUUACACUUACUGGCAUUAACUCGCUAAGCCGGCAUUAACUCGCUAAGGCUUACUCUUUGAGCGCGCAUUGUUGAGUUCCGAGCAAAGAAGUCUUUGUUUAUUGUUGCAGGAUCGGGUGCUUACGUGAAAGAAUCUGAUGGGACGCAAGAACUAGUAACGGUGUUCUGCUAAUGUGAAGAUAGACGAAAGUCAUAACUGAGUCCAGAAGCUUUUGGAAAGCCGCAAGACUAAACAAGCUGACUUUAUUGCGCUAAGCACCUCUGAUUCUCGAGUUCACUUUCCUGUUUAAGAUCCUGUUCCUACUUGCUUCUACUUGAUCUGUUGAAACUGUUUCCUCACCAGAUCCCGGGUUAUCUACCUAUUGCUUGUUCCGAGUCAACUCAUGAAUUUGCAUUUCACUCUCCUACAUCGCAGAAUUCUAUUGAAAUUGUUAACUCCGUAGGGUAGGCGCAAGUCCAAGCCUUUAUUGAAUCUAUCGCAGUCAGGUCCACUUUUCACUCCCUUAGCGCAACAGUCUCUGCUGAUAAAGCAUCUAAUCAAGGAGACUUAGCGCUUGCUGCUGAGAUUGAUUUCUGAAUUGAAGAAUAUCAUUGAGUGCACUGAUCAUAAGUAACACCUGACUCUGAUUCUUAUGCUCCCGCUGGAACUACACUUGCAGACUGAAACACAAGAAAGACUAUCAUUGCUUAACACAAGCACUUUACUCUGGAAAGCCAAGUUGGAUAGCGAUGUACGAAAGAAUGGGUAAGGAAAGGCGAAGUCAAGUGUUUUAGGAAAGUCUCUAGUUUCAAGUGCUGUUUUCUAGGGCUUAAUAGGUUUUCAUCUGGCUUAAUCGGUUUUCAUCUUAUUAUUAAGAAAGAAGAGGAUAUCAACUAGCCCUACCCUAAGGAUACAGAUGGACCUACCCUAAGUAAAGUACCUAGCGCUGGUAGAUUAGCCAGAGCCUACAGUAGCUAUCAAGUAAGCUGAUGCGGAUAGGGGAUGCUUCACCGAACAAGUGAAUAAGCCGUAUAAAGUCCAGUUAACCAUAGGGGUAUAAUAGAUGUUAUGUUGGUAGCAAAUCCACCCAGUGCCCCCUCUCGCCAACCGAUAACUCUUAUACUCUAUUCUGAUCCUCAGGUACGUCAUCUAGUGCUAAGAAGGUACUUCGGAGAAAAAUGAAUUCCAAGACUCAGUGAAAAGAUCUUAAGCCGGAAGCUGGCUCUUAGCACCUUAUUUGUUUAGUUUACUUUUACUUAGGAUAGUUGUUAAGUAUUGCCAGGUCCCUAUCGUUCAAGAAAAUAAGUGGAGUAUUGUAAAGAAUUUCGUAAAGAGGAAGGAUCUUUAUAAGGAUCAGAAGUGUGCAGCAAUAUAUGAGUCUCCUCUUUCAGUUCUUGGCUACUUUCAUCCUAUAGAGGUCGGGGCAGAAUCCAGUCCUGCUUUAGCUGAAGCGCUAACGGGAGCUUGCUCGAGAUAGUCUCAAAAACGUUACUUGUUAAUAACUCGUAGGAGGUGAAGAAAGGACUACGUUGCCUGGUUGUUGGACUCGGCGCUUAGGAGAAAGUUUGCAUUGUGUCGAGAUUCACUAGUUAUAGAGCACCAGACCAUUAAAGAAAUUGAUGUUUGAGUUGAGCUUUUGAGUUGACUCUAAGCAAGAGAGAGAAAUUGAUUCAAUGUUGCAAGCAGGUCCGCAAGUGAAGGAGAGUUCGCCUAAGCUGCUUGUCCCGCCUCCAAGUCUUAGAGAUAAGAUGAAAUAGAAAGUAAGUCAGCUGCCCUAAGAAAGGAAAUAAGCUUAGGAACAAAAGAGAAGGAUGUUGUUAUAGAUAUAGAUAAUCAAUAGGUCCGAGUGAAGCAAGGUGUCAUGGAGAAUGGCCUGUUCGAAAGGAAAGUGUAGUUAUCAGGGAAGAAUAAGAUAGUAAUGGCCGGUAUUGGGCAGCAAACGGGUAAUCUUCAAGUUUGGUUCAGGGAAGAUAAUAGGAUCUUACGCGUUAGGUCGUGUAGAGAGGUUUCCAGUUUGCUUACGUAAAGAAUAUCUAUGAUAUAAAGAAGCGCACUACAUGAUUAAGUCUCAAGUAAGGAGAGAUAGACUUCAAUCUCAGAGGCCAGUAUACGAGCAAGCGGUGUCAGUUUCAAAGCUCGUAUGCCGCUGCUUGCCGAGUCAUGAUCCACUGUUUCAUAUGUUUUUCAUAAGAAUUGGAACCGCCAGCACCUUCUUAUAUGUAUAUGUAUGUAUGCCCUAAGCUAGAAAAUGAUUCCUGAAAUGGCUGUAUAGGCUAGAUCUUCUUAGCAACCGGGGAAUACAAGACAAGACUGCUGGGUGGUGCGUGAGAGAGGACGUGCUCGUACCUUGACUAGUGCUUAUGGUAGUUUCUGGUAGCUUGCUUAUUGCUUUCCCUUUCUUCAAAAAGGUGUGAGGGAUGCGGAGUUGUCAACGAUAAGUCACGAGUAUAGAGGACUAGAUCUGGCUUGCAUAAGACCUAAAUAGAGCCCCAUAUGACUAUGUUUUCUUUCCCUUACCUAUGUGGUUUUCCACUAGUUGGCUUAUUUUAUUAGAAGAAGGAGUCGUUAGCACUCCCUCCCAGGCGAGCACCCUGAUGGUUAUCGAUUCCUAGGCUCUUAGCACCUUUAUCUAAAUGAGGUAUCUGUCCCGUAGUGAGUUGAGUGUGAGACAGAGAAAGACAGAAGGAAGGAUUCGCUUAUUCACUUAUUCAAUCAGGAGGAGCGUAACGAUCAGCUUUUUUCAAUACUUUAGUUGUCAACCUAAUAGCCCCUUUCUUUUCCUAUGUUCUUUACGAAUGGGGAGUCAAGUCAUUCUUAUACCACUAUUGAGGUGCACAUAUUAGAAGCUUCAAUCCACUUUCCAGGUAAGCGUAAGCAAUUGUAGGGUUAGGGAAGGGGGAAGCUCCAGUCAACUGAUUGUCUCGCCUCAUUGUCUGCGAAAGAGGUUAUUGACGGAGCGGUGAAAUCGUCAGCAUAAGCAGGAGAAGCAUCAGGUUCAUUAGCCGUUCUAGUUUGGAGUGCAGGAGAUUCCCAGUAAGGAAAGGAAGCCCAAUCUCAAGAUGGAAAUUCAGCAUUCCAGAUCUGAGGCCCCUUUCUCAUUUCAUUCGAUAGAAUUCUUAUCAAUUUGAUCGACCCUCACUCACUAGGGGAAGCGCGGACGAGUGGAAGACUUGGGUGUAAUGUCCGGUAGUUCAGAAGACUUACAGCUUUCAAAACGACUCUUCCUCUUUCACUUCUUCUUGUUUAGUUAGUUCAGUAGCUCUUGAAGUUAGAACUUGCCGUUCCGAGUUGCUUCUCUCAGUUUCUGGCGUUAUGAAGUUGUAGAUCAGUUCUUCAUUCUUUCUUGAGUUAUAGUUUUGAGUGUGACUAGCUUCCAUGAGCGUAUAGGAUCCUCUUCUAGGGCUCGUUUCGGAGUGAAACGAACUAUGUUAUGAAUUGAUUUAUUCCCCCCGCCCCCGAGUUAGACUUUGGAAGAGAUGGGUGAAUAGAAACCUGUGGAAUACCUUAUAAGAGAGCCGAAGGAAGGAAGAGCACUAUAGAGCCGGAGGUAGGGAAGGUGCUAAGAGCCUCGAUUCCAGACAGUAUAAGAUCCCAGAGUGUUUUUCGAAUGCCCCUUAAUUUCACUGAGAUCACCAAUGAAGAUUUCGAUUAUGGUAAAGGUUGCUAAGCUAAAGCCUCUAUACUAUGAGGGAAAGCCAAAGAAGCUGGCCUUACUAGAGAAGGGGGCAGUCCAAAAAGGGAGAUUCUUUUAGUUAUACCAGUAGAAAGAAGGGCAGCAGCUAAGAUCCCCAAUCGGCUAGAUGCGAGUAGCUCAUGCCCGGCUCGGGAAAUGAUGUUUGAUAAGAUGGAUUCGUUCGUGAAAGAAAGAAAAUGCAAUGGUGGGAAAUGAAUGGAAAGAAGAGUUGGAGUCUUUCCCCUAAUGAGGUGCCGACAUCUGUGUGAGUUCCUAGGAGUUAUGUUACAACAUCCUUUCUAGUAAGAGCAUCUUUGUUAGUUCCUAGGAGUUAUGUUACAACAUCCUUUAGUAAGAGCAUCCGAGAUAGCCAAAGAUCUGAAGGCGAAGCAAGAACAAAGGUAGUAAUUAGAAUAAGAAGAAUGCUAAUCAAAUCCAGCUUAAAGCGCUAAAGGAACCCUAUAGAAUUUCGAGAUCCCUACCCAAAAGAUUGAUACCGAGUUUCCAGUUCCAUUUUGAUCAUUUUAUUAUAAACCAGCAUCAGUGACUAUCUAAGCACCACCAUAAAAUGACGGAACAACCUGUGGGGCAGUGACUUUUUUGAUAUCCAUAGUCUUUCUUUGGUUCGAAAGCGAGAUAUCCAUCUAGAUUUUCUAGAAACCUCUGACGGAACGGAAUGCUACUAACUUAUUCCUAUUGAUCCAGUUGACAUUAACUCAGUCAGUAGUUUGCCGUUGAUUUCAUUUAGUUGACCGAGAAUCCGGAGCUGCACCAUAAGGGGGAGGCCGCAUCAGAGCUAGUUGCAUCUGUCGAUUGAGUUGAAUCAGCAACAGAGCCGGUAGCCUCGCCAAUCUAGAUAGUUCUUUCGAAACCAUCCGUCUUUGUAGAUUGAUUGAAGAUUACCACUUAUAUACACACAACUCCCUAUUGAUUGAAGAUUGACCACUUAUAUACACACAACUCCCUUCUUAUUGCUUGCUUGUAGGCUUCUAUUCUAUAAACUCGCGUUAUAACUUCAUCUUGUUCCCUUGUUUGUAGAAUAUUCUAUGUUGUGCACUUCUUCAACUUCAUUAUGUAAAUGGGUAAGAAAACAGCUGAUAAAUAAAUAUAUGGCAAUUCUUUUCAAAGCAGUGGGGGUAGCUCAACUCUUUUCAAAACAUACUAUAACACCCCUAAACUCGCUUGUGUCAUUUCAUUUAAGAACUCCGCUAGGCAGCCCGCCAACCAAUAAUACAAUUUGGAUUCCUUCAGCUUGUUCCUAUUCUCUCUGUCUAACUAAAUAAUGCGCGCCCGGAGCUGCUAUUCCUUGUUCUCGGCGACCUUAUGAGUAGUGGUCCAGCAUCAAAUAAGUAAGGGGCAUUAAGGUUAAGGUAAGGCGCCCCCGCUCAUAAAGGCUGUAGAACAUUCAUUGAAGCCUAAACUUCCUGUCUUUGACUUUUACUUGUUUAUUGCAUUAUGAAAUUGCUUAUGAAGUUGACUUAUGUUAUAUUAAUUAGUAUUUGAUUAGCAAAACCAGAUCCCAAAGAAAGGGUUUAUUGCUUUUCUGUUGAACGAAGGGGCUAUGGUGCCAGUGUUUAGUAUACAUUAUUCUGACUAGUAUUGGUGCUAAGCUCUACUCUAUUGGAAGCGAACUCGGCAGUAAGAGAAUUAAGUACAUUCAUGGAAUAAUAUAACUCAGUAAUAGGAAAAGAGCGACUACUAUUGGGAUCCAGCCUAAGAAAUGCACUAUUCUGACUCGGUAGCUACUUACGUUGAUUCUCUCACUGCGGAUUCGGAUACUGACUUCUUAGAUAAGAGUCUACCUCUCUUGACUUUCAUUCUCUGUGUUGCUCCUUUGAUCCCUUAAUUCAAGUUAGAUGCUUCCUUUCUUUGAUUUCCGCCUGUCGUUCAUUAUCUGGUUUGUUCAUUAUCUGGUUUACCGUACUGGUUCCCUGGUUUACCGUACUGGUUCCCUGGCUUACUUUACUACAACUAAGUCUACCAUUACUCGAUCCAAGGAUUGAGAAGGAUCUCCUUUCACUAAUAUCAAUAAGGGAACUGAGCUAUAUCAAUAAGAGAACUGAGCUAGUAUAUAUCAUACUAAGACUAGAGUAUUUAGUAGACUAUUCAUGUUAGUAAACUAUUCUGAGUAUCAGGACAGUGACUAUAGUGAUAGUAGUAUAAUAAAAAGCAGAAGAAGAAUAGGUAAAAUACGGAUAUGAUAUCAGUAGUGGCAGGCUCAAAAGAAGGAAUGUAAGACUAAAAGACGGGAGCACCAGACUCGGGCUUAUCCAUAAUAGAAGACAGUAGUUGGUAAUUAAGCCUUAAAACGGGAGCAGUAGAAGGAUGGAAUAAGGCAUUUAAGAGCUAGCUACGAGAGCGAGAGACUGUAUAGUCAGAACGGAAGACAGGGGUAGUCAAGUCAAGCCUUAGAAGCGGGAGAGUCGAGCUGGUAGUGCUAAUUUCUACUUCAAGUAAUAGCUGGGAGAGCUAGUUGGUGGGGGCAGAGAUACAGCUUAGGUGCCCGCAGAGCAAGGUAAGGCUCGAGAUAUGGUAAAAGUCAGUCUAAAAGACAGUAAGCAAGGUGCUCUAGCUAAUAAACCAGAUUCGGGAUCAGGAAUAGCAGUUUUCAAGUAAUGAGUAGGGCCUGUUCCCGUAUAUGAGCAGUAAGGCUCGGCAAUGAGCAUAGGAGACAAGAGUAAUAGGGCAAGGAAUCAUAAUCCAACUUCUUAUUAUAAUCAUAAAGACGUAGCGGGCCUGUGCAUUAGUUAGUUAGGAUACCGGGCUAAGUAGUCAAAGAAUGGCUAAGCUGAGUGAAAAAGACAGAACAACUGCCCAGUAGAAAAGAAUGGCUAAGCAUUGGAGGGAGUAAUUAGAAUAAGUGGUUUCGGUUUGAUAUCAAGUAAGGAUAUAUGGAGGCAGGCCGAUAGAGGAGAGUACUCAACAUGGGCAUUGUAGGUCCAGUCCCGGUAUAAGAAUAAGAGAAAUAAGUAGUUGACUUAGAGGCCGUUUCAAAGCAAGACAUACGAGAGUUGAACCGAGGCAAGUAAUAUUUGGUUUCUGUGUUGGGUGAAUAAGGCUUGAACAGCUUCGUUCUAUUCUACGAAGACAUAAGCAGCAAUACCAAAUACAAAAGUGCAAAUACUAAUAAACCACUAAUAAAAGACUAUCUAAUAUUGUAUAUGAAAACCCAUUCUACUAUAGGUGAUUUAAUGUUCUAUUAGAUUAUUAUUUAGUGAACCGAGCUGUAAGAAUGAAAAGGAGUAGUACAAUACUAAAGCUACCAAAACAAGUAAGGGCUUUGCUCCCAGUGAAUAAGGCAAGGCUGGGUUUACUAAGUGCAACUCUUAUCGAUAUUGGUUCGAGUCUGUUAGCAUUGUUGUUGGAUUAAUGGACAGUAGCGGCAGUCUUUCUAUCCGUAGCUCAAUUACAUCGAACCUGAGUUUCUUGUUCAAUCCUUAUUUCUAGUGGUUUCAACCUUUCCAGUGCUAGUUUAGUUUACCUAGUCCUGACCGACAGGGUAUUAAGAAUAUGAGUUAGGCGCCUUGUCAGCAGCAGUUAAGGAAUCGGUUUGGCUAGGGGUAGGUCUAUUCUUUUACUUAUGGAUUGAGUUCUUUAUUUACUACUUUCAGAAAUAGGGGUGACAAUUUCAGAGUCAAUAAGUCAACUGGGAAUUAAGAAACCGUGCAUAGAGCUAUGAAAAUCCAAUAAGUAACUAAAUAAAGUCAGCCUAAAAGCAAGUAGAGGACCCAUUCUUGUGUAGUCCAUACAGAGGGAUAGUAAGGAUUUGGAGAAUUCAAGCAAAUAGUGUUAGGUUGAGUUACGAGUUAAAGUGUCUUACUUACGCCCUUGCUUCUUAGAUAAAGUAUCUCGCUCUUGUACUUUUCACCUGUCUUUAUUUGUUUUGAUUCUGACUACCUUUUCUCCUUUUAUGAGAGCUAUGGUUUUAAGAGUGACUUUUUGUAGGCGAGUGCAGACACUAGUGCAGGAGAGCCUGGUUUAAUAGUAGCAGGCCGGGUGCUCAGUAGGAACCGGGGCUUACUUUACUACAGCCAAGGAUGCCCUUACGACUAGACUAACAAGGGGCAAACCCAUAUCAAAACCAGACUUUCCCCCCGAGAACAGAGAAUCUCACUACUAUCAAUAAGACCUGAACAACCAAUGGAAAGAAUUGGACUUAGCACUAACAGGGUGAAACACUACCUAAUAGAUUGCACUAAGUGCCUCUCUAAGCUCAAAAGAUGAAUUGAACCGGUACUAACAAGCCCCGAGUCUUUACCACUCAUACUUAUGCUCUAAACACACUCUUCCCCUACUGAUAUAAACCGCGUAUCUUAGCCUAUAUCUCUUUUCUUUCAAACAAACACGCAUACCCUUGACUCUGAUUUUCAUAGGGCUUACGGACAAACAGACUUGAAACCAGUGCUUCUCAUCCUUUAUCUUAUGCUAAGGUGCGGAAAGCCUACUGGAAAACAGACUUUAGUCAGUGCUUCUCAUCCUUUAUCUGACAAUAAGGAAUCGAACCAGGGCGCCUAAGCCUACCUUUUCCUUUAUCUAAUUCCUCAAAUCUAUACCUUCAUUCCUUAACUACCGAUUUGGAGUCUGCUUUCCUUUAUAGGUAUUACUUUACAGCCUAGCUUCGCCGCCCCUAGCUUUGAUUCUCUCUUUUCUUAUUAUUAAAUUCAUAUGUGUUUUAUUGUAUAAUAUGUUCUAGCAUUUUCCUAGUAGUUGAUUAUAGAAACUAAGUCCCAUAAGUACAAUGGCUAUUCUCUUUUGGAAGGCAAAAACGGCUCUUGUUUUCUCUUAUUUAGUAGGUUUGUUUUGCUAUGACACCUGCGCUACCUCACCCAUGUGUCUGCGAUCCCUUGGGCUGAUGCCCUGACCUACUCGACCAGGUGCCCGGCCUCUACAUUGAUACGAACUCUGCUUUCUACCUUAUACGAACUCUGCUUUCUACUUAACGAGCACCGACACAAACACCGACACAAACACCGACACACACCUAGAUCGGACAUGCACAUAGUCGUGGAGUUGCACCUAUCAGCCUACGAGCGACCAUGGACUAACUCUUUCAAGUGGCUAAGCGCAUUCAAUUCACUGGUCGAAACAACGGCACGGGGGGCAUAUGAAAAAGCUGGUUUUUUGGAUCAAAACCGAGAUAAAUAACUUGUGGUUUUUGGACUGGUUUCGCUAAGCAACAUAGAAAGAAGUUUUCUUAUACAAUCAAAGAAUAAUCGGAUAAAGAGAUAGGGCCAAGCAUAUACUAGAUGCGAGCCAAGUCCUAGAACACAACUGUCAUAAUAAAAGGCCAAGCAAGCCGACAAGUCACCACUAAUAUCAAGAAAAGGUAUAAAUUCUCUCCGAUAACUACUAAUACACUAGUCAAGGUAUCAAUUCUCUGCAUCUAGUAUAAGAGGGUAACUUCGCUCUCCACUCUAAAGUCUUAAUUGAACUCCGUAGUCACAGUAGGAUAAGAGGUAUACCUCAUUCAGUUCAUCGUUUUAGUUGCCAGCGUGAAAAGAGACGAGGUCAACUCUUUUCAUUCAGUAAAGGGAUACUCAGAAGCAGUCUUCAACUCUAUAGUAUAAGAAGUCAGGCAGCUAGCGCAUCUUUUCCCUUAUUCUUAUACAUCUACUUACCACCCUUAACCAACUAGUGGUGCUCUUAACUAAACCACCGGCGUGCUCUUCAAAGUAUGGAUUGAAACCUAAAGUCAGAAUGAAACUCGAAGUUAAUAAAUAGAGUAAUUCGCCGAUGGGGUCUAGUCUAAUAGAAAGAAGUAACCAAAGAGCCAUAGGUACAGGAGCAAUCAAUGAAUAAGGUCUUAUACUCUUGAUAUCCCGACUAAUGGUCUUAUACUCUUAUAAUGACUUGGACGCGGUCCAGGGCUCCUUUAGCUAUUAAUUAGGACUUGGGCCAAGCAACCUUUCUUUCCUUCCCUAUACACCCCUUUAGCCAACAAACACAGAUGAUACUGGGGAUCCACUCGGAGAAUAGCGACCUUUGAAACUACUAUACUACACCUCUGGCUCUGUCAACUAAUUAAGUUAGGGCUCUGUACUCUUUACUACUCCCAGGUCUGGUCCUUGUAUACUCUGAUUCCGGAUUCUUUUUCCGACUUCCCCGACCAACUCCAUAUUCUUGUUCGUACUUCUUUUCUAGUCUACUCGCACUACUUAUUAUUGAGUUCCUACUAAAGAGAAAGAUAUUGAGACUUCUCCUACUCCGGAUAUUGAUACAAACGACUUCCUUACCUUAUCUUGCCUCCGCCUCCGUUCUUAUAGUUCAUAAUAAAGGGAACAAGUGAGCAGCUCCAUUCCCGUUUUGGCCUCUUCUUGCUUUUGUAUAAGUUGCUUUUUGGGGUAUCCAAUUUCAUAUAUUAGCUAUUAACAGAGUAACACAUAGGUUCCACUUGUAUAAAUAAGAGGGCUUGAAUGCCUUUCCCUCAAACACGGAACUCCCCCGAACCCUUCCUUGAUACUUAAAGCGCUUAACCUCACUGAUACCAAAGACUGGACUAGUAGACAACAAAAGUCAAGCGCCAAGAACAGAAAGAGUAUCUACUGAAGUCGACCUAGACCUCGCUUCAAACCCAGUAAUUGCGGAUGAUGAUCCUGUUGAAGAUCCUUAUUCUGAUCCUAGAACUAUAACAGGCAAUUCUUCUGCCGGAGCGAGGUUAAGUGGAGUACGGUGGAAAGUUUACAGUAGUCCGCUCACUAACGCGUAGCAGAAGCCAAAUCCAGUAUUGGCUCGGUGUCGUGGACAGUGGAGAAUUUCCAGUUCCAGAAGAAUAAGGAAGGAUAAGAAGCCGAGACGAAGCAAUGCGGUAGAAAGGAACAGGCGCAAGGGAACAACCAUCAAGAAGGGCACCCUACUGAUUAUAGGAAUAAAUGCACUCUAACAGCCAAGACACUACUAAUGUGUCGACCAAACAACUAAGUAAGACGUUGCGCGGUAGCAACAAUAAUAGGCCAAGCAACUACUAACGACCAAGCUUAGGCGUAAGACUAAGUGCGGUAGCCCCAAUAACAGAUAUUACAAGUUAUUACAAUAGAUGUUUUUGGGGCCGCUCCACUCUUUCUAUUACAAUAGAUGCUUUUUGGGCCGCUCAUCUGUGCCCAUUUUAUGGCAAAUGACCCAGGAAGAGAUCAAACCUGCUUCAAAUGUAAUUCAAAGAGGGUUUCCUCCGUUUCCGACUCCCCGGAUUCUGUUCCCAAGUCCUGUCUUUGUUCGUCUAGCACAUCCAGUAGUUUACUAGUAAGCUCUAGUACCGGAUAAGUAGAUAGUUCUGAAUUCCAUUCCAAGAUAAGAAACGGAAUUGGAAGCAGUGCCAAAGUAAGCUGCUGUUCGAGUUAAGUCUAUAGGAAAGUUCUACUCGCCCUCAAAGAGACUAAGGAGAUUUCACUGCAGAGUUUCGUUCUUAAGUAGUCACUUGUCUAGUAGCUUGGCCCCGGCAUUUUGGAAAGCAAAUAGCUUGAUACAACAAACACUUUCACUGCGGAUUCUGUUAGGGAACAUCAACUGGAGCUUAAAAGCCUGUAAUUGGUGAUGAUCCUACAGACCUAUUUUAUAGAUGGAAUUUCCUGCUACACCAAUCUGCUACACCAAUUCCGCUACUACUAAGUGAAGUAAUUCCUCUGGGUUCCGUUUUUGUCUUAUAGUGCACUGCAACCAAGAGUUGUUUGGUCUGUUACUGAUGAAGUUCAUUCUGUAUUUACUACCACUAUAACAUUGGUAUAUUCCCCCACUAUGCAAUAAAUGAAUAACUAAUUGAAUAAUCAAAUACUCAAGUCAGAAUAAUAGUCAUUAGGGCCACUAAGAACGGUAUGGGGUAGUUUAAGAAUAAGAGACCGGACAGUCAGAGUGAAAGAAGCAAGUAUCCGACCAAGAGGUAUACUAGUACUACUGGGGUCAUUUACGUAUGGAUGGGUUCACAAAAAAGGAGUAUAAGAAUUAGCGGAGUGUGAGCGCACUUAAUCAGGAAUGUUCCUCUCAAGUCAGGAUCAAACAAGGGUCAUUAUCAUAAUGGUAGGUGGCGAUACAGAAUUUCAAAUAAGUAUUAGGUCGGGUCCCUCUCCCUCUCAGAUAAGAAUUGGACUAGUGCUCUAUAAGAUCGAAAUAAGCAACAGUGGAUUCCACUGCUAAGGCGAGUGCUGACAAGACUCAUCUAUUCACUAGGAGAUCCGCUACCAAUAACAAGAAUCAAAGGUACUUCUCACUCUUUAGCUCCUGAUAUCUCAAGGCUACCUUUGCUGUAACUAAGUCUUUGGCUCUUCGAUCUUACUCUUUGACUGCCGAUCCAGAUCUUUGCUUUUAGUAUUACUUGGCAGAGCGACCCAGGCAAGUCCAGACUAAAGGUAAAGGUAUAAAGUGUAAUAGUGGUGAGUUUCAGAAUAAGGGUAAGUAGCGGCAGUCCUGUUAUCAAUGGCCCUUUCCGAGGUGGGUUAGGAGAAGCGCUAGUUCUAUUCUUCCCAGUAGUGGUAACAUCCUUUCUAUUAGCGGUUCCGUCCUUUCUAGAUUAGCAGCUCCCGAACACAGCACUUGCUCUCAUCUAAUCCAACUCUGGCUACAAUUCAUUGAACCCUGAUGUCCGCUCCUAUAAAGGAAUUCUGAUUGGCUGUGGAAUCUGUUCUUAUUAAGGAUUGAGUUUCGAAAGAGAGAAGCCCUUUCUUUUUGGAUGCAACUCAACAUUACGAAUGGAGGAUGUGCUCGAGAUUAUCAAAUUGGCUACUACCUUCCAGAAGGAAGCUAUUAUUUGACUUUACCGAGGUUAGCUGGUGAAGAUCCUUAUUGCUUGAUAUCAAAUAGAAGGUAGUUUCGUCUGGUCUGUAGAUCAUGUUGAAUAAGUAGAGCUAGUAAAUUACACUAUCAGAUUACUUACGUGAGAGUUGGAAUUUCUUUCCCAAUCCUUUCCUUCCCUUAAGAAUAGAGUUGACCUCCUAAGCUUCCCUACGCCCAUACUGGAUUAAGCCUCUGAACCUGGCAUACCUGGCAUACCUCUCUUAUCUUGCCAACAACAAUCACCAGAACAGGAGCAGUACUAAAGGGAUUGCACUAACUACUACUUAUGAAACAGGACCACUACUAAUAGUUCUUGAAACAAGCCCUGCUGCUGGCUCUUCAUUCUGACUUGAAACUUUCCUUUACUCGCUUCAUCGCUUGCUGCUGACCUCCGCUCUGACCUUACUUGCGCCUUAACAGCUUUACCGACACUGUAGUAGCUUGUCUGAGGGAAAGAGUACUCGGUGGGUUAGCAAACUUUAGAGCGCCUGAUGGGUUAGUGACUUAUUCUAUUCUAUUAGAUUGAGUAUCGUUCUUCCUUUUUAGAGCCCGCCGGUUAGUUACUUCUUCUAUUAGGGUUAGUGACUUAUUCUAUUAGACCCCUAGCUCAGCUCCACCCUCAUAUUCCGUUUCUUAUUUUUCGACUUACUUUCGAACUACACUUUAUGAAUAGACUACUUUAGCACCCGAACUAUACUAUAAGGUUAAGCCAAGCACCUUUCCGAUACACCUAACUUCAAAAAGUCAACUCCACUAUAUUACCUUUUGAGCUACAGCGCGACAAGAAGAGAAGGCCUAUUUUCGUCCUUGUUCCUAUGUGUUACUCUGCUAAUGGCAAUUCCAUUCACAACUAAUUAAAGAUCCCUUGCCACUGUAUAAAUGCAUUUGAGCCUACUAAUCUAAUCCACUAUAGCAUUUGUUUCUUGGGCCGAAGAUCAGAGAAGAGAAGAGAAGAUUGUAAGAAUGGGGUUAAGCGCAUAAGCUAAAGCAGAAGAUCGGAUUGCCCCAACUCGGUAUUGAAGCGGGAAGUUCUGCGCUAAGGGAGUUUACAACUAAAGAAUGAGUUUUGGUUUGGACUCCGCUCUCAAUUACUGUGACUCUGCCCUCCAUGCGUAGGCCUUGGCGCACUCAAAACCAUACUGCUAAAUGGGAUCCUUGCUUAUACGCUUGAGGCUUCCACUCCUUUAUCCUAUUCUGACUAUCCCGACCCCAAACCUAACUAAGUUCUCCCCCCCUAUCUUAUUGUCUGGGGCUUACUUGUUAAAGGCUUAUUGCAUAACAUAACAUUGUCUAAUCUAAUCUAGUAACUAAGGGACCGAUUGCCAACCCAGUAACUCACCGGCAAGCUACUAAGAGACCCCAAACUCGACUCUCAGUUAAGAACCACUUCUAGACUAGCCUGUUGUUGGCAAGAGAGAGGUGCGAGUGUCUUUCUCAACUUUCUCCUUACUAAGAGAAGAUAGAAUUGAUUUGGUUUUCCUCUACGGUGUCUGUACUUAGUCGGUAUAUGAGAAAGAGAACCCGUAUAUCACCUGAAGACAUAUACGAGGACAGGAUUGUUCGUCCGCCUGUAUUCGCCCUUCUUUUCUUCUUCCCAACCAUUAGACCGGGAAGCUAGCUUAACCUCAUCCUCAGGUAUCGUUCCUGAACUGACUGUUGCCGCGUCAUCGAGCCUCUCCUUCGAUCAUCUCUUUUUGCCAAUGAGCCAGCCCCGUCUUUUCUGUUGACAUCUUCAGUAGUUUCACCGGGUAAAGUCACCCACCAAAUCUUUUCCAGGCCUAGAUGCCCAAUUGAAUCAAGAUCAUUGUCAUGUUUGUUCUAGUCUUUAAAAGGACCAAAGAGUCCAGUCCAACACCUUUUUCUUCUUCUUUUGUAAGUAAAUCAGAUGCUCCUCUCAUAUCGUUUAUGGUAUGCUCCUUUUUAAGCCCGAGAAGGAGACAGCCCGAGAUGGUAUCCGUUGAUUGUCAUCCGAGAUAUAAAGCUAUGAGAUGAAUGCCCCCUAUUUGAUUAAUUACCCACCGACCGCCCUUGCUAUUUGAGAUCUACUUUAGACUCUUAUACGAACGAAAUAAACAAGUAGGCAUAACUCGUGAAUGUAGGCAUAGAAAGCAUAUGCUAAGACAGACCUAAAAGACCUGAGCAAGAAGGAAGCGUCAAAGAGCUUUAAUGUGUUAACUGAUGGAACUAGACAAGCAAACGGUUACUAGUUAUGGGUCGAAGACUCUUAGUUUGUCUCAUAAGUUAUAUUCUCGAAAUCGACUUCCUUACAUAGAAUUGAUAAUAAAAGAAUCGACAAAAAGAGGGGAUUCUAAUCUAAGAAGAAAAAGAAAGAGAUGAAGUGACUAGUAUUCUAGGCUUGAAUCAUAAAUGGCUUGUCUCCUCUUUCACAACAAGAUGGGGUACUGCUACAAAGAGCUAUAUGAUUGAGAUAGAUAUAUGCUUCUCUUUUCUAUGAUACAGAGUGGUGAGAAUCUCCCUAGUAUUUCAUAACCGACCUUGAAAGCUAAGCUUGCUUGUUUCACAGACCCUUUUACCUAACGCCCUUUCACCUAACGGCCGUUGCUCCGUCAGCGAGUUUACCCGAGCUUGCUUAUACCGCUAGCAAGAAGCAAUCCUUACCUUACAUACAGUGAAAGAAGGCUACACAGUAGGCUAAGCGAAGCAACUAGUUUACUUGCUUUAAAAGGUGCGGCUAGUAAGGAGUCGAACAGAAGCAUGAGUUUAGUGGUGAGCUAAAGAGCUGGGUAGGGAAACACGGAACGGAGACGAAUCCAAGCCCAGUAAUAGCGUAGAAUAGAUCCGCCCUUUACAUUCCCUCAUAUCGGAUAGCCCACGUCUGACCCCAUUUCUCGUGAGAAAACCAGUUUCUUAUUAGGUUUGCCUCGUUUAAAUUGACAGUGAGGAAGAGGUCGGGUUCGGUCUCUCAGUCGCCCCUGGAGUAAAGGAAUCAUGGUUUGGUUCUGGUAGCCUCAUAUCUCCGGAAGGUGGGUCAAUGGGUGAUAACGUUUGUGCUUUCGGUGAAUCGCCUGCACUCUCUUUCUUUCUAUGAGAAGUUUCUCCUUCCGCCGGUCAGCCUUUCACUCUUUUUUCCAAAAGGGAGGAAAAAACACUCCUCUUCGGAUUCAGCUCCUUCCUCUUAAAGCUAGGGCAUCCCACCGAUCAAAAAGAAAAGAGUGAGCCCUUCUUGCUCUGUUGUUCACUGAGCCAUUCCCUUAAGAAAUGACUAGCCCCUUGAAUUCUUGUGAGUUAUUUGAUUCAUCAAUAGGUGGCCCUCCCAUACAAUCCCUUUUCGCAUUUCAUCUCCCUUCCUUUCUCCUUAGCUUCCCUUACUUGUCUUAACACUUCAUUCCAGUCAUAACCAGUAGUGGAUUCCAUUCUGCAGAAGGCAUUUCUUCUUUCAUGGCCGAGUCACUCCUAUUCUUCUUUAGAUUAGGGUUACUCCUGCUAAGAUUAUAUGGAAAUUGGAACCUUCCCAUAGUAUUCAAGAAAGCCUGAACUUCAGAGGAAGGAUAAAGGUGCUUGUAGUAAGUAGAGUGUCAAAAAAGACCUUGACUAGGGCCUUGCACGCCCUCAGACACCUACUCCUUUCGGACUAAGAAGAAGCUAUCAGAGGAUCUCCUUAACCUUCCAUUCUUAUCUCCUACAAAACAAUACCUUGACUAGGGUACUGAAGUAGACUAGGUAAAGAAGCUAUCAGGAUCUCCUGCCCCAUUCUUAUCUCCUGCAAAACAAUACCUUGACUAGGGUACUGAACUAUAGAGAACAAGUGGCACUCUACAAGCAAGGGAACAAUCAAAGAAUGUUGCGGCACAGAUAAGAUAUUCACAACUAACACAGAGCAUUACUUCAAUACUAACGUUAGCAGCUAUAGUAUUGAACUCGCGUGCAUUAGCACCCGCUACAGAAUUCAAGGCAGUAGUGAAAGCUUAAUUAAGUAAGUAUUGUUUGCUUGUUGUUCAAUCAUAAUGUGUGUUUGCUCUUUCCUUGUUCAUUCUCUAUCGCCGGGUUAGAGCUAAUUCGCUGCUAUUCAUUCGAGUUCUGUCGCUGGGAGCUGGUAGGUAAGAAUAAGAAGAAUAACGGCGAGGCAUAGAUGGGAUAGACUUCAAAGAUGAGGAAGACGUCAGCCCUUGCGAAAGAUAUCUUAUCUAACCUCUAAAUCAUCCCCUUGCGAAAGAUAUCUCACCUCUACUCUUAAUCCUCAGACCUUGACGGAAAAGCUUCCAAUUAGACCAGUAGCUGGCCGAGUAGCAGAUAGACCAAAUAAGCACAGUAGGCUCUCUGGGAUUCUAUUCGAGUAGCAGAUAUAGACCAAAUAAGCAUAGUAGGUCUAUGGGAUUCCAUUAUUAUUGAUUUAUAGAUUCUAUAGCCUACGCACUAGCCUUUAGGGGAUCGAGUUGGCCAGUGCUUCCUUCCAUCGUCCCAUCGAUCUACGUACUUCUUAACACCGAUCCCGCUCAGAACCAUAGAAUGACAUAUCGGUACAAAACUCCUACCUAAUACUAUAACAAACACAAGCAGCGAACCCAUACAAUGAAAUAAGUGAGUAGAGUCUAGUAUAUUAUUUGGAAGUAAGUAAGUAAAUAAGUCUAGUAUGUAAGUAAGAUGAAGUAUUAGAAGUAUAUUUCUUUGAAGUAAGUAAGAUAAUGCUCUCUUAUAUUAUAUGUUUCAAGUAAGUAAGAUAAUGCUCUCUUAUAUUAUAUGUGGUGUCAAUCAGUUGAAUUGGAAAUUGGGAUAGCGGUGCCUCCGCCUCUCUGUCCUAAUGUGCAUAGGGAACAAGCAAACAUUAUAUAAGCUUUAACGACUUCCUUUCCGUAAGCGCUUAUACGUUGUUGGCUCGCUAACGCUUAUUGUUGUUCGUUGUGCUAACGGGAACGGAGUGAUUUAAAUUGACAGAAGUAUUUGUUGACUUUCGAAUUCUAUAUUAGGGGGUAGCUCUCUUCAGUAGAUAAUGAGUGGUGAUCCUCUUACUUAAGAACAGGUAAAGGAAAGGCUAAGUAGAAACAGUUCUAAUAGUUCCUCUUCCUCUGUCCUGCAAGUGUAUAGGGUUCGAAGCAAGUAUAAGCUGGUGCCUCACAUUCUUCCUCUAUUUUCUCUUUCUAGUAAGCAAUGCUGGUUGUUUACUUCUGUCUUUCUAUACUAUCUAUGGAACAAUGAAAAAGCAGCGAGUUUUUGGUUAUUCUCUCAUGUUUAUCCAAUUCUAUAUUUAAUGAUAAGAUACGAGAUUAUUUACUUCAAGCAAUAAGUGAGCAGGGCAUUAUAUCAUGUGCACUUUUGUUAUCUUUCUUUCUCUAUUAUAUGUGACUAGUGAAUCAUAACGAAGCCCUCGUUCGGCCUCAAACUAGUGAACAUCCAGGAGUAUAAAGCAAGUGCUAGCCGAGAACAGUUUACUAGAAAGAGAGUGCUCAGCGGGAAUUGUGAUAGUUGAAGUUCCCUGGGUCCUAAGGAAUGCCACAGCCAGAGAGAAGAAAGAAGUCAGACACACUCAGAUGCAGAGAAUCUCAUUCCGUCAUGCUUACAUAUUGGAAUUAGUGAUCAAAUGUCAUAUCCAGUUUACCGGGUCGAACUAUCAGCAGUGGAGAAGGCAAGCACCAAUAAUAGGGCGGAGAUAUCACCAGCGGCGGAGGGAUGGGAAGUCGAUUGCUCGAUAGCUUCUCGGUAGGAUAGGAUGGAUUUGAUUCUCAUUGGAUUGGUCGGCCACCAUAGCACUAAGACGGAAAGCCUAGUUUGCAGUCUACACAGAUGGGAAGUAACCAAACGUAGGAAAGAAUACCUAUGACUCGAAGGAACCGCCACCAUUAGAUUUCAGACAAGGAUGCCUUUUUACCCGCUAAGGCUCUUACUCGCUAAAAUCAAUCAUGGAAUUACAGAGUGCCUUCCAUCCAUCAUAUAGAAUGAUGCUCUUAUAGGCCGGGAUUGAUAAAAGGAAGCGUGGGCUCUUUUCUCAGGUGCGCUAUAUCUUCUUGAGUAAGGCGAGUAUGCACAAGUCCUUAUCUUACCAAGGAAAGGCUUGAUUACCUACCAAUGAUGCCCCAAGCAAGGAAGCAUACAAGAUUCUGGUACCGGAAGGAAAGACGUUAAUGACUGUGGUAACUUCGGCUACCAACGCAAUUCCUUUCUUUGACUUUGUUUGGAAGCAGAUGGAGAAAUUCGCUACGUGAAAGCUGCUAUUCGAACUAGAGCGGGAAGGAUUGCAGUUAGACUAAGACCGCUUCUUCCUAAUUCGUAAAGAUGUGGUAUCCAGUUCGUUCUGUGCUGCUAGUGAAACUAAUGAUUUGAGUUCUAUCGUUGAAGUGAGUUGAGCUUAGCUGUGCUGCUAGUAAAACUAAUGAUUUGAGUUUUUAAGCAAAGGAGGAGUGAGCUUUAUCUUCAGCUGGAUAAGGUAAGGAAGUGGAAAUAAGAUCAGUAGAAGUAACUCGCUAACUAAGCUUAUUAUGUUUGUUCAGUUCUAGUGUAAUCAUGCGGUUCAGAAAAGAGAGUUUGUUUGAGCAUUGGCAACGAGGAGCAACAUUAUUCUAAUAUAAGAGGAUCAAACUCCAAUUGCCUUCCAGCCUUUUCAUCUUAACCCCGGAGUAGAAAGCAAAUAAAUUCAAGCAGCCUUUUAGAAACUCGAAAGAUAGAUUUCCAGCCCCAACUUCUUAUUAUUUAGGCCUAUGGUUGGUAAAGUCACUAAACGGAUUGAUUGUCCUAUCUUCUUGAGCGCUAAGUACUCUGAUGGCCUUCUUCAGUGCAUCUGUCCUUCAGUAGAGUUCCAUUGCAGUUAAGUGUUUGCGCAGUCAAUAUUAGAGAUUGGUCAGCUUCACACUUCAAGGAGAAUUCGGGGAAGGGGCAUAAUAUAGUGGUACUUGCUUUUAUUUUAUGCCAUAAGUCAAGAAUACGAAUAUCUUUCUGCUCGGGGAAAGUAUAUGAGAGAAGAAGAAAAGUAUCUGAAUUCAAAAGGAUGAGGAAACAAAAUCCAAAGAAGAAUCCGCGCGCGCAAGCUGCCACUGGUCCCGAAGAGUAAUCCCCAAUAGCUCCUUUUGUCCCCAAUGGAGCUCCUUUUGUACUUCUUACUCAGAUCUUUGUGUGUGAAAGAAAGUCUCCCGGGAUAAAGUCAGCAGCAAGCAGAGGUGUUACCGUUAAGUCUGAGUUUUUGUAGCAGCCCAAUAACUCCCCAAAACAUAUGGAUUCAGAAUCAGAGGGAGAAAUGCACUGGAGUACCGAUGUCCACCAUGCACCUACCUUAAUCUACUUAUUCCAAUAGUGAAUAUGUUCAUUAUUAUCCGAUGAAUUUAUUGAUAUUAGCGGGAGGUCCGUGCGGAUAUAGUAGUGAGUUAGUUUUUCGCUCUACAAGGAUCAAGAUCCAAUGAAUGUUCACUCUUUUUCUGUCAAAGAAAGAUAUAUCUCUGACCUAUCAAUGACUAAUGGUCGAAUAAGACAUAAAUUGUUGGAUACUUCUGGUAAUAAGGAGAAGCAAAUUAAUGACUAUUCAAUAAGACCAAACGAUAUCUAAUGGUCAUUGGAAUUUCUUAUAUACCUUAUCUAUUAUCCUAAGGGAAUUUGGAUUUCUUGGUUCUAAAGCGAAGAAGACGAAAGAGAGUCUGAAUCCCAUUACUAUAUGAUCAAGAACGAGACAAAGAACUAAUACCCUGUUUUGCACAAAGGUAUUUGACGUAGAUAUUGUCUUCUUGAAUGGAGAAAAUGGGAUCUAUGUCCUAACGCCAAGAAAGAGUACAAAGUGCGGUUCGACCCGUAGUAACACAUGAAAUAGCUGAUGACAUCAAAUUAGCAACACUUUUUCCUCAGGAUCUCUUACAGCGCGGGGAUCUUAUUCAGGAUCUCUUACAUGGGGGGGAAGAAGUCUCUAUGGCAGAUUGCUACGUAGAACAAUAGGCAUGAAUGGCGGAAAUAAGAGAAGAGCCUAUUCCUCUCUAUCAAACAUGGGGGCAAUGGAAUCCUACUUGCUUAUGGAAUUGAGUUGAGUGCUCCCUUACUUGCUUAUGGAAUUGAGUGCUCUCCCAUAAUAGAAAGAAGUCACCCAACAUCACUCCACUCCUUGUUUAAACCUCACUGCUUGUUCGUUUUGUUACUUGUUCUUGCAAUGGAAUCUAGUUAGCUGUAGUCAAAACACUGGAAACUAACUCAACUCCAAAGCUCACUCACUAUCCCCGAUUACCAUUAAAUAGAGGCAUUAGAAUUCCCCGAAACUCUCUAUCUCUAAACAAACAAAAGCACAAGGGUUCAAUUCAGGAAAGAGUAUAUCUUCGCAUAUGAAUGAUAUAAGAGCAUAACAAAACGGAGCAGAGCUUCGAAACUCACUAAGGAACUUGGACUUGAAGAACGAAACUCGCGCUAGCACAAGGGCGAAGCUGGCAAACACUAAUUAGCACUCUUUCGAAAUCAUAGAAUCUGCACCUAAACUAUCCAAAAAUAUCCAAAAGGAAUCUCACUAAUAUCAAAAAGGAACUAAACACCUAUGACUCUCGGGUUGGGGCAACUAGAAACUAACGCCUUGAAUUCCAUCUAGCUAGCGGAGUAUAGAAGUUAUUAAUGAAUCUAGCUUUGUAUAGAAUAGCUUGUUCUCUCGAGCAUAGCAUAUAAGAUAUUCUGAUUUUCUAUUGCAUCGCAUAUAAGAUAUUCUGAUUACCUAUUUAUAUACUUGGGCUCCCUUAUCUUAUUGUAUAGCUUGCUAAUACUCCCUUAUGUUAUUAUUGCUUGCAAAUACUCCCUUCCUUUAUCUUAUGGCUUGUUCCUCCUUACUCCUGACUUCAGUAUUCAUUAUUCCAGGAACGGUUUGUUUCCUUUCAUCACUCAUAUCGGCAUUCAUUCGUAAUAAUGCAUGUGUAUAUAUAUGUGGAUAUAGCUGGUUUCAAAAAGGAUUAGUUCAUAUUGAAAGUGUCAAUGUAUCUAACCUACUACUCCUAAUGUUUCACAUCAUUAUAGUGCUAGUUGAUUCAUUAUAGUGCUAGUUGAUGAAAGUGACUUUCGGGGUCAAGAAAGGUAAAGUGCCACGGCGCUCAAUUCCAAUUGAAUGCAACUGGAUCCAGAUCUAGUAUAGUAUUCAUUGGCGAUCAGAGCAUAUAUAUAGAUAACACUUCUACCGGGAUGGUGUCUUGCUUUAAAAACUAGUCAUUUCUGCUGGGGGGCCUUUCUCCUUUUUUUAGGUUAACUAGGAUUCUUAGUGGUUGGAACAUCCAGUUCUCUUGGUAGGAAUUGAAUAUCCAUAUUUCUUUCUAUCUCAGCAAAUCCAUUUUCUUCCACAAACAAUGGAUCGGUGAUGUCUUUCUACGGCGGGUCUGUCUAUUCAUUAGCUCGUAUUUCCACAAUUUCCUGGAAUGUAGGUAGCAGACCGAUUCGAUAGACAAAAAGGAAUUG
rnacentral:lncRNA from 1 species